rnacentral:rRNA from 1 species
CCCGACUGCUAUUUGGGUGAGAAUAAGCCAUGCGAGUUGAAUGGAAUACCUAAAUUUUCCAUAGCAAACUGCUCAGUAACACAUGAUCAACUUACCCUAUAGAGAAAAAUAACCUCGGGAAACUGAGGAUAAUGUUUCAUAGUUGAAAAGGCUUGGAAAAGUUUUUCAAUCAAAAGGAUAAGAAAAAUGGUUUUUAUCCGCUAUAGGAUAGGAUCGUGGUCGAUUAUGGUUGUUGGUGAGGUAAUGGCUCACCAAGCCGAUGAUCGAUAGGGGCCGUGAGAGCGGGAGCCCCGAGAUGGGUACUGAGACAACGACCCAGGCCUUACGAGGCGCAGCAGGCGCGAACCUCCGCAAUACACGAAAGUGUGACGGGGUUACCCAAAGUGUUCAAUUUUGAACUGUGGUAGGUGAGUAAUGUUCCCUACUAGAAAGGAGAGGGCAAGGCUGGUGCCAGCCGCCGCGGUAAAACCAACUCUUCAAGUGGUCGGGAUAAUAUUGGGCUUAAAGUGUCCGUAGCCGGUUUAGUAAGUUCCUGGUAAAAUCGGGUAGCUUAACUAUCUGUAUGCUAGGAAUACUGCUAAACUAGAGGGCGGGAGAGGUCUGAGGUACUACAGGGGUAGGGGUGAAAUCUUAUAAUCCUUGUAGGACCACCAGUGGCGAAGGCGUCAGACUGGAACGUGCCUGACGGUGAGGGACGAAAGCCAGGGGAGCGAACCGGAUUAGAUACCCGGGUAGUCCCGGCCGUAAACGAUGCAUACUAGGUGAUGGCAUGGCCACGAGCCGUGUCAGUGCCGUAGGGAAACCGUUAAGUAUGCCGCCUGGGAAGUACGGUCGCAAGGCUAAAACUUAAAGGAAUUGGCGGGGGAGCACCACAAGGGGUGAAGCCUGCGGUUCA